UGAGUAAUGUCUGGGAAACUGCCUGAUGGAGGGGGAUAACUACUGGAAACGGUAGCUAAUACCGCAUAACGUCGCAAGACCAAAGAGGGGGACCUUCGGGCCUCUUGCCAUCAGAUGUGCCCAGAUGGGAUUAGCUAGUAGGUGGGGUAAUGGCUCACCUAGGCGACGAUCCCUAGCUGGUCUGAGAGGAUGACCAGCCACACUGGAACUGAGACACGGUCCAGACUCCUACGGGAGGCAGCAGUGGGGAAUAUUGCACAAUGGGCGCAAGCCUGAUGCAGCCAUGCCGCGUGUGUGAAGAAGGCCCUCGGGUUGUAAAGCACUUUCAGCGAGGAGGAAGGUGGUGAGCUUAAUACGCUCAUCAAUUGACGUUACUCGCAGAAGAAGCACCGGCUAACUCCGUGCCAGCAGCCGCGGUAAUACGGAGGGUGCAAGCGUUAAUCGGAAUUACUGGGCGUAAAGCGCACGCAGGCGGUUUGUUAAGUCAGAUGUGAAAUCCCCGGG
rnacentral:rRNA from 1 species